rnacentral:lncRNA from 1 species
AUUCUGGAUCACUGCGUGUCUUGGGGAGCUUGGGAUUCCGCAGCUUGGCGGCCGAGAGCCUUUGUUUGCCUUUUUGAGACAGGGUUUCCCUCUCUCGCCCAGGCUGGAGCGCAGUCAUGCGGUUACGCCUCACUGCAGCCUCAGCUUCCCAGGAUCAAGCGGCCCUCCCACCUCAGCCUCCCGGGUAGCUGGGACCGCAGGCGCUCGCCGCUGCCUGUGGCUAAUUUUUAAACAGUUUUUUGAAAUGGGGUCUCGCUUUGUUGCUCAGGUUGGUCUCGAACUCCUGGCAUCAAGCGUUCCUCACGUCUCAGCCUCCCAUAGUGUUGGAAUUACGUGCAUGAGCCACUGCAGGCAGUCGGACUAAGGGAGUUUAAACAAAGAAGCCGGAGCCUG